GACGAACGCUGGCGGCGUGCCUAAUACAUGCAAGUCGAACGCAGUGGGGACGGGUGAGUAACCCGUGGGUAACCUCCCAUCAGAGGGGAUAACACUUGGAAACAGGUGCUAAACCGAUACUGAUGGAUGGACCCGCGGUGCAUUAGCUAGUUGGGGAGGUAACGGCUCACCAAGGCCACGAUGCAUAGCCGGCCGGAGCGGGUGAGCGGCGACACGGGUACUGAGACACGGCCCAGACUCCUCCGGGAGGCAGCAGUAGGGAAUUGUCGGCAAUGGACGAAAGUCUGACCGAGAAACGCCGCGUGAGUGAAGAAGGUUGUCGGAUCGUAAAACUCUGUUGUUAGAGAAGCGGUAUCUAACCAGAAAGCCACGGCUAACUACGUGCCAGCAGCCGCGGUAAUAC
rnacentral:rRNA from 1 species